UGCAAGUCGAGCGGUAGAGAGGUGCUUGCACCUCUUGAGAGCGGCGGACGGGUGAGUAAUGCCUAGGAAUCUGCCUGGUAGUGGGGGAUAACGUUCGGAAACGAACGCUAAUACCGCAUACGUCCUACGGGAGAAAGCAGGGGACCUUCGGGCCUUGCGCUAUCAGAUGAGCCUAGGUCGGAUUAGCUAGUUGGUGAGGUAAUGGCUCACCAAGGCGACGAUCCGUAACUGGUCUGAGAGGAUGAUCAGUCACACUGGAACUGAGACACGGUCCAGACUCCUACGGGAGGCAGCAGUGGGGAAUAUUGGACAAUGGGCGAAAGCCUGAUCCAGCCAUGCCGCGUGUGUGAAGAAGGUCUUCGGAUUGUAAAGCACUUUAAGUUGGGAGGAAGGGUUGUAGAUUAAUACUCUGCAAUUUUGACGUUACCGACAGAAUAAGCACCGGCUAACUCUGUGCCAGCAGCCGCGGUAAUACAGAGGGUGCAAGCGUUAAUCGGAAUUACUGGGCGUAAAGCGCGCGUAGGUGGUUCGUUAAGUUGGAUGUGAAAGCCCCGGGCUCAACCUGGGAACUGCAUUCAAAACUGUCGAGCUAGAGUAUGGUAGAGGGUGGGUGGAAUUUCCUGUGUAGCGGUGAAAUGCGUAGAUAUAGGAAGGAACACCAGUGGCGAAGGCGACCACCUGGACUGAUACUGACACUGAGGUGCGAAAGCGUGGGGAGCAAACAGGAUUAGAUACCCUGGUAGUCCACGCCGUAAACGAUGUCAACUAGCCGUUGGGAGCCUUGAGCUCUUAGUGGCGCAGCUAACGCAUUAAGUUGACCGCCUGGGGAGUACGGCCGCAAGGUUA
rnacentral:rRNA from 1 species